rnacentral:rRNA from 1 species
GAUGAACGCUGGCGGCGUGCUUAACACAUGCAAGUCGAGCGGAAAGGCCACUUCGGUGGUACUCGAGCGGCGAACGGGUGAGUAACACGUGAGUAAUCUGCCCCUGGCUUUGGGAUAGCCACCGGAAACGGUGAUUAAUACCGGAUAUGACCACUUCUCGCAUGGGUUGUGGUGGAAAGUUUUUCGGCCAGGGAUGUGCUCGCGGCCUAUCAGCUUGAUGGUGAGGUAAUGGCUCACCAUGGCUUCGACGGGUAGCCGGCCUGAGAGGGUGACCGGUCACACUGGGACUGGGACACGGCCCAGACUCCUACGGGAGGCAGCAGUGGGGAAUAUUGGACAAUGGGCGGAAGCCUGAUCCAGCAACGCCGCGUGAGGGAUGACGGCCUUCGGGUUGUAAACCUCUUUCAGCAGGGACGAAGCGCAAGUGACGGUACCUGCAGAAGAAGCACCGGCCAACUACGUGCCAGCCGCCGCAGAAAAAC